CCCUUAGAUGUUCUGGGCCGCACGCGCGCUACACUGAAGGGAUCAGCGUGUUUUCCCUUUCCGAGAGGAACGGGUAACCCGCUGAACCCCCUUCGUGGUAGGGAUCGGAGCUUGCAAUUGUUCUCCGUGAACCAGGAAUUCCCAGUAAGCGCAAGUCAUAAGCUUGCGUUGAUUACGUCCCUGCCCUUUGUACACACCGCCCGUCGCUACUACCGAUUGAACGUUUUAGUGAGGUAUUUGGACUGGGCCUUGGGCGGUUUCGGCCUCCCUUGUUGCUCGGAAAGACUCCCAAACUUGAGCGUUUAGAGGAAGUAAAAGUCGUAACA
rnacentral:rRNA from 1 species